GCAUUAGAGGGGUGAACCAAAACAAGAUGGUGGCUUUCCCACAGUUCAAAGGAGGCUCUGCCAGCCAAUGAAGACUGACAAUCUUUUUGUCCCCCAUAUGUGUGCAAAUCAUCCUGCUGACAAUAUGAGGGAUGCUGGGGCUGAGAGACCAGAGAAAAUGAAUGCACAUGCUUCUGAUGCUGGUCCUCAUCAUCUGCAGCAUAUUUCAGAAGGACACAUUGCACUUUGUAAACUCCUUGGAUUUAAAGGAGAAUCUUAAUUGGGUGUGAGUCAUACAUUAGGGAGAGGGUGUAUAACCAGAUCAAAUUAAACUGUCAAACCACGCUUUAAAAAAAGGAUGCUUUUUCAGAAAGACUUUCACUUCACCAGUAAGCCUGAGAAGGGAUUGUAGAAGUAUCUGGAUGAUUCAUUGGCCAUGAGAAGACUUGAGAUAGAAUCGAUGAUAACCUCCGGUGAGCUUGGAAAAAUAAUUAUGUGAAAGUUGCACAAAUUAAGAACUUUGGUGACAUGCAAAUAAAGAAAAGGAAAAAAAAGGAACAGGAGAGAAUACAAGUAAUAUCUCAUAAAAGAGACAUCAGCGAAUAUAUGUAAGAAGAAAUAAUGGAUGUUACUAAAUUCUCUAAAAUUUUUGGCAGGUCAAUAGUACUGAGUAAGAAAGAACCAACAGACCUCCCUUCCCUGCUAUUCAAACAAGAACAAAGAACAUAUUAUUCCCUGACAUUCUAAAUUCCUAUUUAUAUUUAUGACCAAAGAUUUCUUAAAUGCUGACCUUUCUCUUCAUUUGCUACAAUAAUGAUAAUAAUAAUAAUAAUAAAAAUAAUAAUCGCUGAAGCAAAACAAUUAAACUUCCAUUAAUGGGGACAUUGUAAUCACAAAAGAAUUUUCUGUGUAUUCUUUGAUGUUUUUUUAUUUCAACUUUAAAAAAUUUAUUUAUUUAUUUAUUAUGUAUACAGUGUUCUGCCUGCAUGUACAAACUUUUUUUUUUUGAUUGCAGAUCUCCACCCAUAGGCCAAAGCAAAAUUCUUACACACGUUUGUUCCCAACAGACAUUGCACAUCAUGUGGGAGAGAUGAAUAUGAGAAUUUAUUUCCUGCUAGGUUAACAGGAUCUUGCUAGGCACUCUGAGAAGAACACUGUAUUGGAGAUACGUUACUGCUCAGUCUGGAAAAAAAAUAAAAGAUCAAAAUACACUUAUUGAUGUGGGUCAAUGCUUGGAAGCUGACAAGAUCAUAAAAAACUUGUGGCUUCUCAGAAGGAAAUAAAGGCAGGCCAGGCAUUUGCUGUUUGUUGGCGUAAGAGCAUGGGAUUUGAUAGUUAAACCUGGCACACCAAUAAUGUCAAUACCUCCAGAAACACACUCGAGAGGGAAAUUACCACAUGUACCUUCCCCUUACUUCUUCUGCUUUCCUGCUUCCCUCCCAUGGAAGCCUGGCUCCAGGGUAAUUUUCUUGACUGAUGGGCCUGAAGGGCAAGGACGGUACAACAUGGGACCAUCGCUUUCACUUCUCCUUAUCAAAUGCACUUGCCAAUUGAUGUUCUUGGCAUCUUUCCACAGUCUCACAAGAGUCAGGAUUAUUCUGGGGCUUUUUGAACCCUCUUGUCUUUUGAGAUGGUGACAGUCUAUCUUGACAGCUCAAACCAAGUCACCGGGUACCACCCACAGCUUACUGAUACAGCCUUUCAGCAGGUUCUAAGGGAACCAAGAAAGAAUAAGAUUGCAGACUCCAGUUCUCAUUCAAUCCCAAGCCUAUUAAGUUUAUUGCCGUAUUUAAAACUCAUCUCAAAGAUGCAGCUCUCCAUCAGCCAAGUCAAAAGUGAAUGAGAGACAUCGUGGAUAUCCAAAGGGCAGUGACAUAUCUUGAUGUACACACAGUGUCCUCUCUGGUGACUUCAGUUCUCCAUAGUCAACGGAAUUCUCAGAAUAUUAUAUAUUAGAAAAUUCCAGAGGAAGGGAGAAAGAACACAUCAGUUAUUACAUUGCACUUAUGAUUGCACUGUUUUGAUGUCAUUGUUGUCAGUUUCUUAUUUUGUCUAAUUAUAAGUCAGACUCUGUCACAGAAAUGCACACAUGGGAAAAACAACACAGGUAGGGUUCAAUGUUAUCCAAGAUUUCAGACAUCCAAUUGUGUGGGAGCUUGGAGAAUACCAUCUGCCGAUGAGGGAACCUAUGUAUUAUUAAAUUCGCAUCAUUAUAUGUAAGCACUAAGUGAAUGUUAGGGACAAAUUGUUAGAAAAAAAGGAGAUAUCACAAAAGCCAGAAUGAUUCGUGAAAAACUACAACUGAAGAACAGAAUGUAAGUUGGACUUGGAAGUGUAGGCGAGUUUAGAGGGUGCAGAGAAGAGAAGCCACACAAAGUAAUGUCUUGCUUAUUAUCACCAUAGCUAUAGCUCAGGACUUGCACUACCUGUUUUUUUUUUUAUAUGCAUUCAGUUUGCAUCAGAAGAUGAUGAUGAUGAACAGAUAAUGUAGUUUUCAAAGAUUACACAGCUAAAUGUACAAAAAAAAAUGAACCCAAACCUCCACCUGCCCCUUCCUGGAGCUUAUUUCUUUAUAACAGCUGUAUGGAGGUUGCUUCUCCAGAGGCACAUCUACAGGAACAAAGUGAUAGAGACACAAACUGUGUUUCCACUACCAGGAAUUGGGAGACAGCAGAUAGUAGAAAUCAAAGGAAGAUAUCUAGGGAAGAGAUACAAGAAUCCAUCAACAUGAGAGAUAUUUGUUAAAAAUCUGAAUGUGUUUCCUGAUCAGCAGGGUAGUAAAGUCACAAACUGCAGAGGUCAUCACCUGGUCUCCGUCUUAGCUGAGGAUUGCUAAAUCUCUGCUAGACUGUCUUCCAAUCUUCUUAUAGUUCUUCAAAUAUACAUCUACUUGUGCAGAUGGUUUCAUGAUAUUUGAAUUUUGUCUUUUGUAAAUUUUGUAACACUAAUGUCUCAAUGAGUAAUAUAGUGGGACCAUCUAGUAUUGCACACACACUUACAGAGUACUUUUUAAUGGAAAUGGUCACCAUACAUGCUACCAUUGUUUAUUAAACUUUUAGCCUUGAAUGCUGAAGCUAUGUUUCCUUUUUAAAUUGUGAGGCAUGUCUGAUUUUUGUAGAAAUCAAUUUGUUUAUGACUUCCUUAAAAAUAUGUA